AAAACAAGACUUUGGUGUCAUAAACCUAGUGUCGUGUAUUGAAUGUGUGUAUGACUUCUUUACUUCAAGUAGAAUUUUGAACUGUUAAUCCUAGACAUUAGAUGAGUGGACAGUUGUGGACAAGGAUUGUUGUGGUACACCAAUCUUUUGCCUUCCAAUUCUCUCCAAUCUUCCAUUCCUCUCAAUCAAACAUCAAACACUUUUCACUUCUUUCAUUGCUCCAUCAUCUUCAAUCCAUGUCGAUUUUCACCAAAAUUCUUCACCCUCUCCUUCACCACCCUAAUUCAACAUCUUCAAAACCUUAAAAUCCUCUUCUGUACACCCACUAAAUUAACCUCCUUUUUUAGAUCUAUUACCAUUGAAGGAAUUUUGACAAAAUUUGUUUCUACCACCACUCCACCAAUAGGUGCUUCUUCGUCACAAUUUCUCUAACCCCUUGAAAAGCUCCCACC
rnacentral:lncRNA from 1 species